CCUAAGAUAUGCAAGUCGAACGGUUCUCGUUUACUUGAUUCCUUCGGGAUGAAAGUAAACAUAUGGGAAUAGUGGCGGGCGGGUGAGUAACAUGUAGGAAUCUACCUUCCAGUGGGGAAUAACCCCGCGAAAGCGGGGCUAAUACCGCAUGGUCCCGAAAGGGUAAAGCUUUAGUGCUGGAAGAUGAGCCUGCAUCCUAUCAGCUAGUUGGUAAGGUAAUGGCUUACCAAGGCUACGACGGGUAGGGGAACUGAGAGGUUGGUCCCCCACAAUGGCACUGAGACACGGGCCAUACACCUACGGGUGGCAGCAACUAGGAAUCUUGCGCAAUGGGCGAAAGCCUGACGCAGCGAUGCCGCGUGCGGGAAUGAAGCUCGAGAGAGUGUAAACCGCUGUGGUAUGGGAAGAAGUCAGUGACGGUACCAUAUUAGAAAGCGCCGGCAAACUACGUGCCAGAAGCCUCGGUCAUACGUAGGGCGCAAGCGUUGUCCGGAUUUACUGGGCGUAAAGGGGUAGGCAGGCGGUAUAACACGUCUUAUCUUAAAGACCUGGACUCAAUCUAGGGAAAGGGUGGGAUACGGUUGUACUAGAGACAUACAGGGGCAAGUGGAACUGUGCAAGUAGGGGUUAAAUCCUUUGAUAUGCACAGGAACACCAAGGGCGAAAGCAGCUUGCUGGGUAUGUUCUGACGCUCAUCUCCGAAGGCUAGGGGAGCAAAACGGAUUAGAUACCCGUGUAGUCCUAGCUGUAAACGAUGCUCGCUAGAAACCUGGUCCGUUAAGAACAGAGAAUGCUUCUGUUUUUGACGGUCUGGGUUUCGUAAGCUAACGCGUUAAGCGGGCCGCCUGGGGAGUACGGCCGCAAGGCUAAAACUCAAAGGAAUUGACGGGGGAUCGCACAAGCGGUGGAGCGCGUUCUUUAAUUGGAUGAUGACCCAAGAACCUUACCAGGGUUUGACAUUCCAUUCUUAACGCCGCUAUGAAAAUAGUUGGAAUCUGCUUGCAGGGGAUGGAACAGGUGUUGCACGGCUGUCGUCAGCUCGAGUCGUGAGACGUAGGGUUCAGUCCUACAUCGAGCGCAACCUAUACCAUGUGUUGUAUCACUCACAUGGGACUGCCCCGGUAACGGGGAGGAAGGCGUAGACGACGUCUAGUCAGCGUUGCCCUUAUGCCCUGGGCGAGAAACGCGCUACAAUGGUCAUGACAAUGGGUUGCCACGUCGUAAGGCGGAGCUAAUCCCCAAACAUGGCCUCAGUUCAGAUUGAAGUCUGCAAUUCGACUUCAUGAAGGUGGAAUCGCUAGUAAUCGUGUAUCAGCAUGGCACGGUGAUACAUUCUCGAUCCUUGCACACACC
rnacentral:rRNA from 1 species